rnacentral:lncRNA from 1 species
CAGGUUUGCCCAGGACUGCCCUGGUCUUAAAAGUGGAGUCCCUCCCACAUCCCAGGAGACUCACUGGGUUUGGUCACCCCAGAGCGGGAGAGAGAGGAAGAGGACAGAAAAGCAGGGAAGGAGGCUUUCUCCAGAGGCGGGCAGACAAGGGGAAGGGCAGAAGUGACUUCCAUGGGUGCUGGCUAGAUGGGGAAACUCACUGAGAUGGACACUGGUGGCUGAUGAACUUUUCUGUUCUAUUUGUACCUUGCACUUCAAUGAAGAGUGUUAGAUGAAUAAGGAAGUAAGUUUUCACCUGGCAGAGUCAGCCAUCCCUGAGGUUGGAGAGUUUCUCUCCCGUGUAACAGGAGGUAGGACAGAAACAGUUUCCAUGCUGCUUGGUGUGUACAACCCACGUUGUUAGUGGCUGUAACACAUUCUGCCCGGUGGGUUCAUCAUAAUUUACUUCACCACCCCUAAUAGCUGGGCAUUUUGGUUAUUUCCAGCUUUUUGCUUUUACAAUUCAUCUUUGGGGGUUCCUGCAGCUGUGUGGAUGACCCAUCAACCCCCGGCCUCUCAGAUCCUUGACUUUCUUUUUGCCUCAUAUUCCACCUCAGGCACCAAGUCCCUUGGUCAACCCAGUGAUCACCCCCUCCAAUACCACCCAUCAAAUGUCCCACUCCCUGACCCCGUCCUCCCUCCCUUCCUGCCACUGCAGGGUUCUUCAGCAUCACUGCGUCUGCUCACUGUCACUCACAUUCAAUCCAUGCUCCCACUGUAUCCCACAGCUCCCUCAUUUCCCACACCUCUCAGGAGCCCCACCUGGUCAUAGCCAUCAUCCUGUCUCUCCUGGAUCAUGCAAGUCUAACUGGAUCGUGUCACCCACUCCUCUGCUUAAAACCUUCCAGUAUCAUUCCACCACACUUAGGAUAAAAAUCCAAACUCCAGGGCGGGCGCGGUGGCUCACACCUGUAAUCCCAGCACUUUG